rnacentral:rRNA from 1 species
UACGGGGGGGAGCAAGCGUUGUUCGGAUUUACUGGGCGUAAAGGGCGCGUAGGCGGCCAGCGCAAGUCAGUUGUGAAAUCUCCGGGCUUAACUCGGAACGGUCAACUGAUACUGCGCGGCUAGAGUGCAGAAGGGGCAACUGGAAUUCUCGGUGUAGCGGUGAAAUGCGUAGAUAUGCGGAGGAACACCGAUGGCGAAGGCAAUCCCCUGGGCCUGUACUGACGCUCAUGCACGAAAGCGUGGGGAGCAAACAGG